rnacentral:rRNA from 1 species
AGAGUUUGAUCCUGGCUCAGAUUGAACGCUGGCGGCAUGCUUUACACAUGCAAGUCGAACGGCAGCACGGGGGCGAACCCUCGGUGGCGAGUGGCGAACGGGUGAGUAAUGCAUCGGAACGUAUCCUUGAGUGGGGGAGUAACGCAGCGAAAGUUAGUGCUAAUACCGCAUAAGCCCUGAGGAGGAAAGCGGGGACCGGAAAGCCCGCCGCUGAAGGAGCGGCCGAUGUCCGAUUAGCUAGUUGGUGAGGUAAAGGACUUACCAAGGCGACGAUCGGUAGCUGGUCUGAGAGGAUGAUCAGCCACACUGGGACGUGAGACACGGCCCA